rnacentral:rRNA from 1 species
GGGUUGUGAGGUUAAGCGACUAAGCGUACACGGUGGAUGCCCUGGCAGUCAGAGGCGAUGAAGGACGUGCUAAUCUGCGAUAAGCGUCGGUAAGGUGAUAUGAACCGUUAUAACCGGCGAUUUCCGAAUGGGGAAACCCAGUGUGUUUCGACACACUAUCAUUAACUGAAUCCAUAGGUUAAUGAGGCGAACCGGGGGAACUGAAACAUCUAAGUACCCCGAGGAAAAGAAAUCAACCGAGAUUCCCCCAGUAGCGGCGAGCGAACGGGGAGGAGCCCAGAGCCUGAAUCAGUGUGUGUGUUAGUGGAAGCGUCUGGAAAGGCGCGCGAUACAGGGUGACAGCCCCGUACACAAAAAUGCACAUGCUGUGAGCUCGAUGAGUAGGGCGGGACACGUGGUAUCCUGUCUGAAUAUGGGGGGACCAUCCUCCAAGGCUAAAUACUCCUGACUGACCGAUAGUGAACCAGUACCGUGAGGGAAAGGCGAAAAGAACCCCGGCGAGGGGAGUGAAAAAGAACCUGAAACCGUGUACGUACAAGCAGUGGGAGCACGCUUCGGCGUGUGACUGCGUACCUUUUGUAUAAUGGGUCAGCGACUUAUAUUCUGUAGCAAGGUUAACCGAAUAGGGGAGCCGAAGGGAAACCGAGUCUUAACUGGGCGUUAAGUUGCAGGGUAUAGACCCGAAACCCGGUGAUCUAGCCAUGGGCAGGUUGAAGGUUGGGUAACACUAACUGGAGGACCGAACCGACUAAUGUUGAAAAAUUAGCGGAUGACUUGUGGCUGGGGGUGAAAGGCCAAUCAAACCGGGAGAUAGCUGGUUCUCCCCGAAAGCUAUUUAGGUAGCGCCUCGUGAAUUCAUCUCCGGGGGUAGAGCACUGUUUCGGCAAGGGGGUCAUCCCGACUUACCAACCCGAUGCAAACUGCGAAUACCGGAGAAUGUUAUCACGGGAGACACACGGCGGGUGCUAACGUCCGUCGUGAAGAGGGAAACAACCCAGACCGCCAGCUAAGGUCCCAAAGUCAUGGUUAAGUGGGAAACGAUGUGGGAAGGCCCAGACAGCCAGGAUGUUGGCUUAGAAGCAGCCAUCAUUUAAAGAAAGCGUAAUAGCUCACUGGUCGAGUCGGCCUGCGCGGAAGAUGUAACGGGGCUAAACCAUGCACCGAAGCUGCGGCAGCGACACUGUGUGUUGUUGGGUAGGGGAGCGUUCUGUAAGCCUGUGAAGGUGUACUGUGAGGUAUGCUGGAGGUAUCAGAAGUGCGAAUGCUGACAUAAGUAACGAUAAAGCGGGUGAAAAGCCCGCUCGCCGGAAGACCAAGGGUUCCUGUCCAACGUUAAUCGGGGCAGGGUGAGUCGACCCCUAAGGCGAGGCCGAAAGGCGUAGUCGAUGGGAAACAGGUUAAUAUUCCUGUACUUGGUGUUACUGCGAAGGGGGGACGGAGAAGGCUAUGUUGGCCGGGCGACGGUUGUCCCGGUUUAAGCGUGUAGGCUGGUUUUCCAGGCAAAUCCGGAAAAUCAAGGCUGAGGCGUGAUGACGAGGCACUACGGUGCUGAAGCAACAAAUGCCCUGCUUCCAGGAAAAGCCUCUAAGCAUCAGGUAACAUCAAAUCGUACCCCAAACCGACACAGGUGGUCAGGUAGAGAAUACCAAGGCGCUUGAGAGAACUCGGGUGAAGGAACUAGGCAAAAUGGUGCCGUAACUUCGGGAGAAGGCACGCUGAUAUGUAGGUGAAGCGACUUGCUCGUGGAGCUGAAAUCAGUCGAAGAUACCAGCUGGCUGCAACUGUUUAUUAAAAACACAGCACUGUGCAAACACGAAAGUGGACGUAUACGGUGUGACGCCUGCCCGGUGCCGGAAGGUUAAUUGAUGGGGUUAGCCGCAAGGCGAAGCUCUUGAUCGAAGCCCCGGUAAACGGCGGCCGUAACUAUAACGGUCCUAAGGUAGCGAAAUUCCUUGUCGGGUAAGUUCCGACCUGCACGAAUGGCGUAAUGAUGGCCAGGCUGUCUCCACCCGAGACUCAGUGAAAUUGAACUCGCUGUGAAGAUGCAGUGUACCCGCGGCAAGACGGAAAGACCCCGUGAACCUUUACUAUAGCUUGACACUGAACAUUGAGCCUUGAUGUGUAGGAUAGGUGGGAGGCUUUGAAGUGUGGACGCCAGUCUGCAUGGAGCCGACCUUGAAAUACCACCCUUUAAUGUUUGAUGUUCUAACGUUGACCCGUAAUCCGGGUUGCGGACAGUGUCUGGUGGGUAGUUUGACUGGGGCGGUCUCCUCCUAAAGAGUAACGGAGGAGCACGAAGGUUGGCUAAUCCUGGUCGGACAUCAGGAGGUUAGUGCAAUGGCAUAAGCCAGCUUGACUGCGAGCGUGACGGCGCGAGCAGGUGCGAAAGCAGGUCAUAGUGAUCCGGUGGUUCUGAAUGGAAGGGCCAUCGCUCAACGGAUAAAAGGUACUCCGGGGAUAACAGGCUGAUACCGCCCAAGAGUUCAUAUCGACGGCGGUGUUUGGCACCUCGAUGUCGGCUCAUCACAUCCUGGGGCUGAAGUAGGUCCCAAGGGUAUGGCUGUUCGCCAUUUAAAGUGGUACGCGAGCUGGGUUUAGAACGUCGUGAGACAGUUCGGUCCCUAUCUGCCGUGGGCGCUGGAGAACUGAGGGGGGCUGCUCCUAGUACGAGAGGACCGGAGUGGACGCAUCACUGGUGUUCGGGUUGUCAUGCCAAUGGCACUGCCCGGUAGCUAAAUGCGGAAGAGAUAAGUGCUGAAAGCAUCUAAGCACGAAACUUGCCCCGAGAUGAGUUCUCCCUGACUCCUUGAGAGUCCUGAAGGAACGUUGAAGACGACGACGUUGAUAGGCCGGGUGUGUAAGCGCAGCGAUGCGUUGAGCUAACCGGUACUAAUGAACCGUGAGGCUUAACCUUACAACGCCGAAG